rnacentral:rRNA from 1 species
AGCGUAGGCGGUUUUGCAAGUCAGAAGUGAAAGGCUACGGCUCAACCGUAGUAAGCUUUUGAAACUGCAAGACUAGAGUGCAGGAGAGGCAAGUGGAAUUCCUAGUGUAGAGGUGAAAUUCGUAGAUAUUAGGAGGAACACCAGUGGCGAAGGCGACUUGCUGGACUGUAACUGACGCUGAGGCUCGAAAGCGUGGGGAGCGAACA